rnacentral:rRNA from 1 species
CACGCCGUAAACGAUGGAUACUAGCUGUUGGGUGCAAACUCAGUGGCUAAGCGAAAGUGAUAAGUAUCCCACCUGGGGAGUACGUUCGCAAGAAUGAAACUCAAAGGAAUUGACGGGGGCCCGCACAAGCGGUGGAGCAUGUGGUUUAAUUCGAUGAUACGCGAGGAACCUUACCAAGGCUUAAAUGUAGUUUGACAGAUUUGGAAACAGAUUUUUCUUCGGACAAAUUACAAGGUGC